GGAGAGCUGGCCGAGUGGUCGAAGGCGCGGCACUGGAAAUGCCGUGUACCGGAAACGGUACCUAGGGUUCGAAUCCCUAGCUCUCCG
rnacentral:tRNA from 1 species